rnacentral:rRNA from 1 species
UAUCCGGAUUUAUUGGGUUUAAAGGGUGCGUAGGCGGUUUGAUAAGUUAGAGGUGAAAUUUCGGGGCUCAACCCUGAACGUGCCUCUAAUACUGUUGAGCUAGAGAGUAGUUGCGGUAGGCGGAAUGUAUGGUGUAGCGGUGAAAUGCUUAGAGAUCAUACAGAACACCGAUUGCGAAGGCAGCUUACCAAACUAUAUCUGACGUUGAGGCACGAAAGCGUGGGGAGCAAACAGGAUUAGAUACCCUGGUAGUCCACGCAGUAAACGAUGAUAACUCGUUGUCGGCGAUACACAGUCGGUGACUAAGCGAAAGCGAUAAGUUAUCCACCUGGGGAGUACGUUCGCAAGAAUGAAACUCAAAGGAAUUGACGGGGGCCCGCACAAGCGGAGGAACAUGUGGUUUAAUUCGAUGAUACGCGAGGAACCUUACCCGGGCUUGAAAGUUAGCGACGAUUCUUGAAAGAGGAUUUCCCUUCGGGGCGCGAAACUAGGUGCUGCAUGGUUGUCGUCAGCUCGUGCCGUGAGGUGUCGGGUUAAGUCCCAUAACGAGCGCAACCCCUACCGUUAGUUGCCAUCAGGUGAAGCUGGGCACUCUGGCGGGACUGCCGGUGAUAAGCCGGAGGAAGGUGGGGAUGACGUCAAAUCAGCACGGCCCUUACGUCCGGGGCUACACACGUGUUACAAUGGUAGGUACAGAGGGCAGCUACCCAGCGAUGGGAUGCGAAUCUCGAAAGCCUAUCUCAGUUCGGAUUGGAGGCUGAAACCCGC